UACGUAGGGUGCGAGCGUUGUCCGGAAUUAUUGGGCGUAAAGAGCUCGUAGGCGGUUUGUCGCGUCGGCCGUGAAAUCUCCACGCUUAACGUGGAGCGUGCGGUCGAUACGGGCAGACUUGAGUUCGGUAGGGGAGACUGGAAUUCCUGGUGUAGCGGUGAAAUGCGCAGAUAUCAGGAGGAACACCGGUGGCGAAGGCGGGUCUCUGGGCCGAUACUGACGCUGAGGAGCGAAAGCGUGGGGAG
rnacentral:rRNA from 1 species